rnacentral:rRNA from 1 species
UAUCUCUGUAGAGUCUGCAUAUCAAUAAGCGGAGGAAAAGAAACUAACUAGGAUUCCCUCAGUAACGGCGAGUGAAGCGGGAAGAGCUCAAAUUUGAAAUCUUCAAGGUUCUACCUUGACGAAUUGUAGUUUAAAGAAGUGUUUUCUGUUGGAGGUUUUGGUAAAAGUUCUUUGGAAUAGGACAUCAUAGAGGGUGAGAAUCCCGUAUUUGACCAUUUACUUUCCAGCUUUGUGAUACACUUUCAAAGAGUCGGAUUGUUUGGGAAUGCAGUCCAAAAUGGGUGGUAAAUUUCAUCUAAAGCUAAAUACUGGCGAGAGACCGAUAGCGAACAAGUACCGUGAGGGAAAGAUGAAAAGGAACUUUGAAAAGAGAGUUAAACAGUACGUGAAAUUGUCAAAAGGGAAGCGUUUGACACCAGUGUUGUUUUCUCGAAAAUCAAUUAAAAAAGGCAGGAUUUUGUGUUGUAUUGACUUUAUCAGCUUUCUGCACUCUUUUCUUGUCUUUUUUAAUGCACUUUUCGUUUAACAAGUCAACAUCAAUUUCUUUUGUUGUAAAAGGGUCAUUGGAAGGUGGCUUUCUUUUCGGAGAAAGUGUUUAUAGCCUUUGGCCUCUGCAAUCGGAGAGAUUGAGGUCUGCAGCGUAGAUCCUUCGGGGUUAGAUACAUUUGUGCUAAGUUAUAGCCUUUCAUAGACAACUUGUUGACUAUGAUCAGUCAUAUAGCUUACUCGCUUAUGCUAUUUUACCUACGCUUAGGAUGUUGACGAUCAGCUGAGCGCG